AUUGAACGCUGGCGGCAGGUCUAACACAUGCAAGUCGAGCGAGCGGCGGACGGGUGAGUAAUGUAUGGGGACUGCCCGAUAGAGGGGGAGAACUACUGGAAACGGUAGCUAAUACCGCAUACUAUCGGAUAACCCAUAUGGGAUUAGCUAGUGGGUGAGGUAAUGGCUCACCUAGGCGACGAUCCCUAGCUGGUCUGAGAGAAUGAUCAGCCACACUGGGACUGAGACACGGCCCAGACUCGUACGGAGGCAGCAGUGGGGAAUAUUGCACAAUGGGCGCAAGCCGGAUGCAGCCAUGCCGCGUGUAUGAAGAAGGCCCUAGGGUUGUAAAGUACUUUCAGUCGGGAGGCGUUACCGACAGAAUAAGCACCGGCUAACUCCGUGCCAGCAGCCGCGGUAAUUC
rnacentral:rRNA from 1 species